rnacentral:rRNA from 1 species
GACGAACGCUGGCGGCGUGCUUAACACAUGCAAGUCGAACGGAAAGGCCCUGCUUUUGUGGGGUGCUCGAGUGGCGAACGGGUGAGUAACACGUGAGUAACCUGCCCUUGACUUUGGGAUAACUUCAGGAAACUGGGGCUAAUACCGGAUAGGAGCUCCUGCUGCAUGGUGGGGGUUGGAAAGUUUCGGCGGUUGGGGAUGGACUCGCGGCUUAUCAGCUUGUUGGUGGGGUAGUGGCUUACCAAGGCUUUGACGGGUAGCCGGCCUGAGAGGGUGACCGGCCACAUUGGGACUGGAGAUCGGCCCAGACUCCUACGGGAGGCAGCAGUGGGGAAUAUUGCACAAUGGGCGGAAGCCUGAUGCAGCAACGCCGCGUGCGGGAUGACGGCCUUCGGGUUGUAAACCGCUUUCGCCUGUGACGAAGCGUGAGUGACGGUAAUGGGUAAAGAAGCACCGGCUAACUACGUG